rnacentral:rRNA from 1 species
AACCUCUGCAAUGUGGAGUUCAAGCUGGCCUCCAAGGUUUUGGCUAACCAUCUCAAACAAAUUCUUCCGGAAAUUAUAUCACCUAACCAAAGUGCCUUUGUACCGGGAAGGUUAAUCACGGACAAUAUACUGCUAGCUUAUGAAUGUACACACUUCAUGCAGAACAAACGGCGAGGCAAAGAGGGAUAUGCGGCGGUUAAACUUGAUAUGAGCAAAGCGUAUGAUCGUGUUGAGUGGACCUCUCUGGAGAAGAUGAUGCGAAAGCUAGGGUUUGAUGAGAGGUGGAUUGGCAGAAUUAUGUUAUGUGUGUCCUCAGUUUCUUACAGGGUGAAGGUGAAUGGAGACUACACGGAUGUGAUCGUGCCACAACGGGGGCUGAGGCAAGGUGACCCGUUGUCACCGUAUCUCUUCCUUAUUUGCGCAGAAGGGUUCUCAUCUCUGCUGAAUGCGGCGGAAGCAUAUGGAACGUUGAGCGGGCUGUGUAUUUGCAAUGCGGCCCCGAGCAUUAAUCAUCUAUUAUUUGCGGAUGACUCACUAGUACUCAUUAAAGCUACACGUGAUAGUGCUAUGACUCUGCAGAAUGUGCUACAACUGUAUGAGAUUUUCUCGGGACAGAUUGUAAACUAUGAUAAAUCGUCUGUCAUGUUCAGCAAGAAUACCGGGAGUCAGAGAAGGCAU